UGGGGAAUAUUGGACAAUGGAGGAAACUCUGAUCCAGCAAUUCUGUGUGUGUGAAGAAGGUUUUAGGACUGUAAAACACUUUUAGUAGGGAAGAAAAAAAUGACGGUACCUACAGAAGAAGCAACGGCUAAAUACGUGCCAGCAGCCGCGGUAAUACGUAUGUUGCGAGCGUUAUCCGGAAUUAUUGGGCUUAAAGGGCAUCUAGGCGGUAAGACAAGUUGAAGGUGAAAACCUGUGGCUCAACCAUAGGCUUGCCUACAAAACUGUUGAACUAGAGUACUGGAAAGGUGGGUGGAACUAAACGAGUAGAGGUGAAAUUCGUAGAUAUGUGUAGGAAUGCCGAUGAUGAAGAUAACUCACUGGACAGAAACUGACGCUGAAGUGCGAAAGCUAGGGGAGCAAACAGG
rnacentral:rRNA from 1 species